rnacentral:rRNA from 1 species
CCUACGGGUGGCAGCAGUGGGGAAUAUUGCACAAUGGGGGAAACCCUGAUGCAGCGACGCCGCGUGAGUGAGGAAGUAUUUCGGUAUGUAAAGCUCUAUCAACAGCGACGAAAGAAAUGACGGUACCUGAAUAAGAAGCCCCGGCUAACUACGUGCCAGCAGCCGCGGUAAUACGUAGGGGGCAAGCGUUAUCCGGAAUUACUGGGUGUAAAGGGUGAGUAGGCGGCAUGGUAAGCCAGAUGUGAAAGCCUUGGGCUUAACCCGAGGAUUGCAUUUGGAACUAUCAAGCUAGAGUACAGGAGAGGAAAGCGGAAUUCCUAGUGUAGCGGUGAAAUGCGUAGAUAUUAGGAAGAACACCAGUGGCGAAGGCGGCUUUCUGGACUGAAACUGACGCUGAGGCACGAAAGCGUGGGGAGCGAACAGGAUUAGAUACCCUAGUAGUC